rfam:Dipodomys ordii contig_23391, whole genome shotgun sequence.
GGGAAGUUGGCUCAGUGGUAGAGUGCUUGCCUUGCAUGCAUGAGGCCCUAGGUUUGAUUCCUCAAUGCCACA